AACACUGUGUGGAGCAGCUGCUCUGUUUCUAGCUUGUUCUUAGUUCAGUGAGUGAACAUGCUGAUCUGUAUUAUUAUGCUGCUGUCAUCAACUGAAGGUUCCAGAGCCUCAGAGAUCAUCACUCCAAAAAGUGACAGAAUAUUUGCUCUUGAGGGUGACAAUGUGACACUCUCCUGUAACUACAGCGGUUCUGCUCGUGGUGUUCACUGGUAUCGGCAAAAUGCAGGUUCACCACCACAGUUCCUCAUACUGGAAUAUUCAGGGGUAACAACUCCAGCUAAUCCACCUGUUCCAGGAAUAAACAUCAAUCACAGAAAAGGAGAGCGUCAUGUGGAUCUGAUCAUCUCCUCUGCUAAAGUAUCAGACUCUGCUCUGUACUACUGUGCUCUGGAGCCCACAGUGACAGGAAAACAAACUACACUGUGCAAAAACCUGUAUUUCAGGAAAGUAUUAAAGCAUACAGGAUAUUUCUGCUGA